rnacentral:rRNA from 1 species
AUUGAACGCUGGCGGCAUGCUUUACACAUGCAAGUCGAACGGCAGCACGGACUUCGGUCUGGUGGCGAGUGGCGAACGGGUGAGUAGUACAUCGGAACGUACCCAGUAAUGGGGGAUAACUAUCCGAAAGGAUGGCUAAUACCGUAUACGCCCUACGGGGGAAAGAGGGGGAUCGCAAGACCUCUUGUUAUUGGAGCGGCCGAUGGCUGAUUAGCUAGUUGGUGAGGUAAAGGCUCACCAAGGCGACGAUCAGUAGCGGGUCUUAGAGGACGAUCCGCCAAACUGGAACUGAGACACGGUCCAGACUCCUACGGGAGGCAGCAGUGGGGAAUCUUGGACAAUGGGCGCAAGCCUGAUCCAGCAAUGCCGCGUGCGUGAAGAAGGCCUUCGGGUUGUAAAGCGCUUUUGUCAGGGAGCAAAUCCUUGUGGCUAAUACCCACCGGGGAUGAGAGUACCUGAAGAAUAAGGACCGGCUAACUACGUGCCAGCCGCCGCGGUAAGAC